AUUGCAGCAGGGCAGCCUCUCUGCUGUCUAUGUGAGGCGGCUCCCCCCAGCGCUAUAAAUAGACAGCCGUGAUCAGAGCCCCGGAAUAGCAGCUUGCGUGCCUGUCCCCAUCUUAGAGAGACAUCUGACCCCUGGUCCCCUGUGGAGCCCCUGCCGGGACCAUUAACCCAUUGGCUGCUGGCACCACCCCCACCUCCGCCUCCCGCGCACCUGCAUCUGUCAAUCCGGGACUCUGGCCUUGUGGAUUCUGGUGUUUUGGAGGUACUGGAUCCCAUCCCCCAAGGAUACAAAGGGACAGCUGUACUUGGGACUGGCAUCUGAAGUGGAGGACACUCUUGUGGGACUGAGACCUUAGCCUGCAGGAUCGGGUACUGUCUCCAGGGAGAAAGCGUCACAAUGGAACAGGGUUGGAGGACGCCCAGCGGGUGUCCGCGGAGACUGGAUGGAACCGGGUUGGAGGACGCCCAGCGGGUGUCCGCGGAGACUGGAUGGAACAGGGUUGGAGGACACCCAGUGGGUGCCUGCGGAGACUCGCUGGAGCAGGGUUGGAGGAUGCCUAGUAGGUGUCCACUGGAGACUUGCUUGGUGUUUGGGGAAAAUCCCCACACACAUUUUGGUGACCAGAGAUGAAGUAUUCCAUGUUGGAUGUUGACUGUUGAGUGUGUGAGAGCAGGGAAAACACUGUUUUUUU
rnacentral:lncRNA from 1 species